AGCAGCCGCGGUAAUUCCAGCUCCAAUAGCGUAUAUUAAAGUUGUUGCAGUUAAAAAGCUCGUAGUUGAAUUUCGAGAUCAGUACGCUGGUCGUGCCUUCGGUAUGCACUGGUGUCACUGGUUUCUCCCUUCUGAAGAACCGUCAUGCCAUUCAGUUGGUGUGGCGGGGAAUCAGGACUGUUACUUUGAAAAAAUUAGAGUGUUUAAAGCAGGCUCGCGCUUGAAUACAUUAGCAUGGAAUAAUGAAAUAGGACGUUUGACCCUAUUUUGUUGGUUUCUAGGAUCGACGUAAUGAUUAAUAGGGAUAGUUGGGGGCAUUAGUAUUCAAUUGUCAGAGGUGAAAUUCUUGGAUUUAUUGAAGACUAACUACUGCGAAAGCAUUUGCCAAGGAUGUUUUCAUUAAUCAAGAACGAAAGUUAGGGGAUCGAAGACGAUCAGAUACCGUCGUAGUCUUAACCAUAAACUAUGCCGACUAGGGAUCGGAUGAUGUUAAUUUUUAAUGACUCAUUC
rnacentral:rRNA from 1 species